AGGACGAACGCUGGCGGCGUGCUUAACACAUGCAAGUCGAGCGGAAAGGCCCUUCGGGGUACUCGAGCGGCGAACGGGUGAGUAACACGUGAGCAACCUGCCCUUAGCUCCGGGAUAGGCUCCGGGAAACCGGAAUUAAUACCGGAUACGACCACGGCCGACAUCUGCUGUGGUGGAAAGGGAUUCCGGCUAAGGAUGGGCUCGCGGCCUAUCAGCUAGUUGGUGGAGUAACGGCCCACCAAGGCGACGACGGGUA
rnacentral:rRNA from 1 species